AGGAAGGUUGAGAACCGCUGGUUUAGAGGACGUGGAGCUCCUCAGACCCUAAAGGACAGUGGGCACUACGUCCAUUGUGUCAGUUGGGUUUGAUGAUGGAGCCCAGAGGUGUGAGGCAUCGGGUUUGCAGUCGAGGAAAAGAGCUAAGAAGGAACCCGGGUGGUGUCAGACUAUGCAGUUAUGGACGUGUAAUCACUUACAAAGGGGACAGGGGGGAAUCUGGGCUUAGGCUGCAGUUAGGAAACCAGGGACCCUCGAUGUGUAACUGGUGAAUGGGAUUAAUUCGGCAACGCGGGACUGGACUGACAUUGUGUCUGCUUUUUCCAGCACAGGCUUGUUGGCCUCCGCUGCCUUUUCACACAAGACGCAGGGGAGCUACAGGGCCUGCGGAUGGCCUGCCAGUUUCAUCUGGACAGGAGGGAUGCGACCCGUGUCCUGCUGAGCCAGCACUGCCACACCUGCCCUUCGGACAGACCCGCCCCCUCCAGGUAAAGUAACCGCGCACAGAAACGCCCGCGUGCAUUGCAAAGGCAGUGGCUAGGUUCAUGAUGACACAGGACCUUGUCUGAACUUCAUGAUCUCAAAACAUGAGCUUGGAUGUGUCACUGAAAUCUAGUCAUGCGCCUCACACACACCUAGAACACCUGGUCAACAGGAAGUGUUGGCUUGACAUGACAACGUAGCAUACUUUCCAUGGCAGUUAACACACGUUCGUUCCUCAAACAUCUUUCCGCACAACCUUCACACACAUUUCAAGCGCAUCCUUUUCUCUUCUGUACAUAUUUGUGCUGUUGGAGGCAACAAAGGAGGCUCACCCACGGACCCCGACAGGCACACGUGCGGAGGGAGCGGUGCCAGGCAUGGAGACUGCCCGCCCGCCUGGGAUGGAACAUCGACACCCGCGUGCUCGGGAUCUAGCGGUGGCUAGGUGAAGGCCUCACGUUGACCAACAUGCCGGCUGUAUGGAACAUGCCUUGCCAUGGACACAGCUCCUGUUUGAGGACAAUUGAUCUUGUCUGUAACCUAGGUCAGCGAUUUUCAACCCAUGUGCUCCGAAAUUUUUAAGCAUGUAACUCACCCUCCCUUAAACCAUCAAAUAGAAAAUUAUGAGAAUCCACGCAACAAUGGCUGUUCAGUAUGAAUUAAUCAACAUUAUACUUAUCUUUAGGUCGAAUUGGCAAAAAUUGUAUAUUUUGGUGGCCCACUGAAUUUUACUAAUUGGCUUACGUGUUAUGAGAUGAGAAAGGUUGAAAAUCACUGCCCUAGGUUUAAGGUCUUACACAGUAAAUGUUGAAGAAAUGUGUGGCAUUAACUAGUUUUCAAAUGUUAACGGUACAGCCCUUACAAACCUUCAGUGACUCCCCUACAGUGGAAACGUGUGAUGACAAUCCAGGCCUGUCCCACCCAACUCCAUGCUUGAUCUCUAAAGGAGCCCCCUGCUCCCAGACAGGGCCGAGCUGUGGUGCCUGCAGGGACACUGUAGCCAUUGUAGCCCGGAAGUCCUGCGUGAGGUCACAGGGCAGUGAGAGGACGUGGCUUGCUUAGGCAGAGCAGCAGCAUUUGACAUCAGUCCCAGGACACUGAUUCUGGAGUGAGCGUGGGUGAAUGAAUGCCUUCGGGAAGUCAGGCUGUGACAACGGGCGCUGGGCAGUCAGGAGGGACAUCAGGUGUGGCUGCCGUUUCAUUCUCAAGCUGUAGGGGAAGAAGCCUUACGUGACUUCGGUCUUUACCUAAAGGACGUAGCUGUGCCCCAUGGCUCCUGCCUUCAGUAGCAUCUUUGUCAUUCAGCAACUUCGCGAGCUUCUCUACCUGAUUGCGGCAUCUUUGUCAUUAUGUAGCAUCUUUAUCCUAUUGCAGCUUCUUAAUCUUUAUGUAGCAUCUCAAUCUGAUUGCAGCGUCUUUGUGUAGCAUUUUAUCUUAUUGCAGCAUCUUUGUCAUUAUGUAGCAUCUUUAUAGCAUUGCAGCUUCUUCGUCUUUAUGUAGCAUCUCGAUCUGAUGGCAGCAUAUUUGUCUUUAUGUAGCAUCUUUACCUUAUUGCAGCUUCUUUGAUUAUAGGUUCUUUAUCUUAAUCUUUCUGCAGCAUCCUUGUCACUUAGCAAGAAUAAAGGUAAAAUAUAGGGUUCCCAAUGUGAGUAAUUUGGUGACAUCAGGAAAGGAGCUUGUGCUCUGGCCUCAUGGUGACAUGAGGGUGGCAUUCCCCAUAGCAUUGGAUUUCUUGUGUCAGGGUGAGUGGAUUUCAUCUGUUCAAUCUGACUGACUUUCUUGACCAUUCUCAAUGACCUUUCCACCUUGAUUUUUUUUACACUUUGGAAUACUUCAUAUUUUCUUCCUGUAGCCUAGGUUCCUUAAUUGGAUUACAACAAGUUAAUGGAGGAGAUGAGUUGUCAGGUCUUCCUCGUUACAUCUGUCUGGUGAUAAUUGGUGUUCCACUUUUCAGUUUGGACAGUUAGCUUGGGGAAGUGGAUUCUAAGAUAUUUUCUUGUAAGACACCAAAGGUCUCAACUUGAUUCCAACAGAUUUCUGGGUGUUUCGUGGUCUUUGGUCCCCAGGUGUCACUUGAAUGAAAUUGCUGUCAAAGAUGGCUGAUGAGUCACUCACUCUUGUAGGCCAGGGCCUUCCUGAUAGUAGAAAUGUACAGUCCACAGGCAUAGCCUUCAACCAGGUGCACUUGCUGUUGGUAAGACGUGGGCUUGACUCAUGAUGAGCUAUGUUGUCUGAAGUGAAUGACGUGAAGGUCACCCGAAUACUCUGAAGUCCAGCCGAAGUGUCCAUCCACGCACGUGGGCCGCACAUUUCUUUAACAUCCGUUUGUAGGCUGUACAUUUCACCAGGCUUCCCAUCAACAUGGCGGGCUAGUCAGAGAGAGGGGGCGCUGUGGGCUCUCAUCCCCACCCACCACAUCUGCCAUCUCACUUUGGAAUUUCCCAGCAUGCAUUUCAAGUGACACCCUCAUGACAGCCUCACUGGUUCCCACCUUGGACCAGAGCUUCCUGAGCCCGUGGCCCCAGCCCAUUGGAGCAGCUCCAGUUAGCACAGGAGACAGAAAGUGCCAGUUGGUUGACACCUUGAUUUUGUCUGAGAUGAGUUUACUUUUUCCACCUACACUCAGAGGGAGCCCUUUCAUUCUUUUCUUAGUAAGUCACCACCUUUUGCAUCUUGGCAAGAUGUAGAUGGAGAUUCAGUUGUUGGCUCAGAUUCAAGGGGGCGUAAUAGGCGUAGCAGUGGGUGAAUCUGAGCCCAGGAGAGGAACGGUUUUGCCAAAAUGCCAUGCAUUCUUCGGGGUCUUCACGUCAUUCUUUAACAUCUGUAACAUCUGUCUUGUGUGAGUAAUGGAUCUUAUGACCUGAGAUUGACAUUCUAUGACUAAGUGCUUGUGCUUUGCUUGUAGUAGCUCUUGUGAGGGUUGAAUAGUAAUUAAACAGGUAUUUAGGAAAACCUGUAUAAAAAAGUUACCAUGGACAGUUGAAUGUAUUAAGACCUUAUCCUUAAAUAGUCACCUUAAUUUGUUAAUGCAUGUGUGUGAGUGUGUGUAAAUAGUGUGGGUGUGGAUAGUGUGGCGAGUGAACAGCUUUUAGUGGAAAGCUGUUGGGGUUCCAAUUAAUUACAUUCUUUGUAAAGUAAGUUAGACAAGUAUUUUCACAGUUCUUUACCUUGUUUAGUUCCAGUUGUCCUACCAGAUUUUUUUUUUAUAUUUACUACCUCAGAGACUUGCUUGGUUUCUCUUAGAGAAUGGAGAGAAGUAAGAUGCCCUUUCUACUAACUGAAUUACAGUGGGAACAUCAGUUGAGUGAGAAAGGAAAGGAGGGAGUUAGCGGUCUUUUGACCUUGGACGUUGGGUGCCAGCUAGGGAGGUCCUGACUGCUGAAAGGACACUGGUCAUGCUGGCUGAGAACCAUCCAGAACAUCCAUCCGUUCUUGAGGGGCACGUGGCCUAGAGCGAAUCCCUACACAGCACUGGAAAGGCCGAGAUGGAGAGGGAAUGAAUGGUGGGGGAGGGGAGCGCAGGGAGGAAGGAAAAAGGAGGGUUUAAAGGGAAUCUAUCAGGUGUGAAGGGAGACUUCCUUUGUGAGUCUUUGAACAUCCGAAGGCUGUGUUGGGAGGUUAGGAGUUGGAGGAACCGCUGACCUGCCACUGUUCGAUUCAGGGCCUCGUUCUCAGCCAGCCGGGAUGGGGGAGCUCCCAGAUCCUUUCCUGAGCUGACCGUGGAGCUGGGUUAGUGGAAGGUGAAGGGGUUUGCAUCUGUAGCCAGCUGAGAUGAGACCAGGCUUGUCUCCAACCUUAGUGCACAUGAGAAUCAGCCUGCCGGCUUGUACAGUUUGUCCGUGGCUGAUUCAGUAGGUUUAGGGCGGAGAAGGUGACAUGCCCUGUUCAGGCACCACACAGAGAACAAAUAGCUGGGUUUGAUUCAGAAUUCAUUAGGCAUUAUCUGACAGCACUGUUACACAACUGCUAAUCUAUAUGGGAUUCAUUGUGGCACAUUUAAAAUUCACUAAGAAAUUGGCUGCUUUUUUUCUUGAAAUAUAAUCAGUUAGGAUCCAAAUUUGUAAUUGGCCAGACACUCAGAAAUUUGAGAAUUGGGAACCCUUUUAUCCGAACAAAUUGCCAAAAUAAAUUCAAAUUUAGGUACCUGAUUGGAGAAAGCAAAUUAAUUUUGAUAAUGUCUCUAAUAAUGAAUCAACUACCCAAAUAUUGACCUCAAUUUGGAUGAAACUGAACAGUAAAGUUUCCAGAAAACAGUAGUAUUCUCAAUAGCAUGUUUAUCUCAUAGACAUGGUAAUUUUUGCCAGAUGCUUCCACUUUGGGGGAGUGUUUUAUCCAGUUUGUGUUCUGUGUUGGUUACUGAACUGUGCACAACUUUAUUACUUUGCAUAUGGUUGUUGUAUUGUAAGCAUCCACUCCUGCAUCAUUUAAAAUGGCCAUAAACUGGCAAUACCAAUGAGGUAAUGGGUGAUGCUAUUUUCUAGUGGCAAAUUUCAAUAUGUAUUUAAUAGCUUGGCUGUAAAUAUCCUGGUGGCAAUAUUUGGUAUUGAUAUUGGACUUUUGUAAAUAUGCUUCUAAAUGGGAAUAGUGUUACAAUGGACUGUUCACUGUUAGUGGCAAACUUUGACAUGUUGCCACUUUAGUCGGGGUUUCUCUGUACUGGGAGGUGCUGAGGAGUAUGGAUGUAGAGAGACUUUGCAGGGACUGAAGAAGGAACCCAGACUAGAAACAAAGAGACCUCUUCUGUGGCUUGGACCGAAUACAAAGUGAGCAAUCCUGUUGUUUUAGGAAAGUGUGACUUAGGAAGGGACUCCGAUGGGAGCAGGGAGACCUCUCUUCUGUGGUUGGACUCAAACGAGCAAUCAUGGAGGGUUUUUAAAAAUUGUGACAUGAAGGACCUCAACCUUGAAACAAGGAGACCUCUCUUCUGUGGUUUGGACUCAGUACAAUGAGCAAUCAUGGAAGACUUAAAAAAUGUGACCUAUAAAGGAAAGGGACCUAAAUGUGAAACAAGAAGACCUCUUUUCUGUGGUUUGGACUCAAAUGAGCAAUCAUGGAAGACUCACAAAAUUGUGACUUGUAAAAGGACCUAAAUUUGAAACAAGGAGACCUCUUUUCUGUGGCUUGGACUGAAGAUAGGGAGAAAUCCCACAGGAUUUUUUAAAAACUGAUGAUUUCUAUGAGGAUAAGUUAUGGCAAUGAUACAAAUUUUUUUAUUUUUGUAGGAUGGCAAAAAAUGUGUCGUAUUUUUCUAAUUAUCUUUUGCUUAAUGUGUAACUCUCUGGUGAGCAUGACUGAAUGGACUGGGUGUUUCUCAAACUAGUCAGUUAAGGUCCUAGUGAGGCCAAAGGAAUAUUUAAAAUUUCCCAUCCCCCCAAAAUACGAAUCACAAUGAGGAAACUGAAAACUAAACACAACUCACUGAGCAAUAUUUUUGCCUUGGAUCGCAACGUGGUAAAGUUUGGUAAAAUGUUUACAUGAAAGAAUGGAUUGACUUUUCUGAUUGUUUCAUGGAGAGAAAAAUAUUAAUUCAUUGGCCUUAAAGUCAUUACUCUUCUCGCUCCAAGCCCCCGUGUAAUUAAUUGGCAUUUAGGAUGGAUCUGGAGGAUAGAUUGUAUGUCAUAUUGGGUAUGUUGUCAGUUAUUGGGUAAAAUAUAUUCAUAAAGAAAAGAUAACGGAAGUUUUAGGCAAAAUUUAGCUUCCACUUUAAAUCUAAACUCUUUAAUACACUCCGGACACAACGGCAUUUGAUUGUGCCUCUGCUGCAUGCAGAGAAUUGGGUGACACCAUCUUAAAUUCAACUUGCCUGUCCAUCAGCCAGAGGGAUACUCACAUUUCAAUUCGGCUUCUGUGGAAAGGAAAAGGGUUUUUUGUAAAGUCAUCCGUCUGUUUCAGUCUAGCUCACUAGAGAAUAAAACUUACCUGUUUAAAAAAAAAAAAAAGCAGGUGAACAUUUGAACGAAUCUCUUGUGCAACCUCUUAGAGAUCAAGAGUUCAUUGUUAUUGAGAGUAUACAACUGUUUACUUAUUAGUGGUAACCACGGACGUAGCCACAUAAAAUUAUGUAAAUACAUAUAUCGUUUAGCUUUUGUAAUGUAUAUAGCAUCUUCUACAACUUGCUGUUAAAGAGAACUCGUGGAACAGUUGUUUUUAAAAUGACAAGACCAUGUCUCGAUCACUCCAAGAAGAUUCUGGCCAGUGACCAUGUGAAGUCACUCCAUGCCAUCGUAAACAUCACUUCAGAACCACUGCAUGAUACCUUUGCCUGAAUUUUAGAGAAUUGUAGAAAGCUGCUGCCAACGAGGGGGUGACCAAGGGGCAGGCAUUGGACUCAGUUGGAGCCUGAGAACAAUGGACAAGGGUUUCUUGCCAAAAGUAAGAACCUGCGUAGCCAGGUGAUUGCUGUUCAGGCUCCGUUAGAUGGCUGCUCCGCACCUACCUUUCCAAUCGGCAGUUUGACCUCUUUUAUUAACUUUUUUAAAAUUCCAGCCGUCGCCUUACUUCUGUCUUCAGAUUCUCUCUGACAUGACGAACCACAUCGUGUUCCAACAGUAUUAUAAAUAAGCAAUAAUCAGAAGGAGGGGAAAGAUUCCAUAGACUGGUAUUUCCAGCAUCUUUUGCCACUCUGAAAACCGGUCAUCGUCCACUUGCCACCUCUGAAGAUUUGGAUUCUCAAAAUCUGGGAUGUUCGUUCACUCAAACCCCCUGGUCCCCCUAAUAAUCUCCAGAAGUUUGUACAGCAAGAAACAGUGUUACUGAAAGUCAGGAUGAUGUACAAUGGAUGAGCCAGAGAUCCCAGCCUGAGGAACUGCCCUGCCUGAGCUAGGGACUCCUGUGGGCAUCUCACCCUCAUGCAGACUGAAGGGGUCUUUGGCCAGACCAAGAGCCAUUCUCCCCACCUGAUACGCAUUGAUGCCUGGGCCAAAAGCAUAUAGGGACAGCACCCUCAUCCCGCAUUCCUCCCCACAAAGGCAUGUGGAGGACACCAUCACUAGACACAGCCGACCCCGCAGGAAUCUGGAGAGGAAGGACACACAGCACAUUCUAAUUGACCUAGAAGCUUUACCAGCCACAAAGACAAGAAACACAGAUUGAUACUGUUUUGACCAUCGGUCUUACAUUUCAUUGGAGAAAAUAUUUUGUGAUGGGGAGUCUCAACUCACCUUCAGAAGGUCUACCAUUGAAAGCUGUGUAUCUGAGACUCUUGUAUAGAUGCCUGAUGCACAGGUCUCCAGUUUUCUCCAAUUCGCAUUUUAAAAACAACACAGAAUCUAACCUUGCUAAGUACUUUAUUGCCCACAUAAAGCUGAACAAUUGAUGGACAUUGGUAUGGACAAUGUUGUUAAAAUGUAAAUAGGAAAUACUCAGUGACUGAUGAAUGUUAAUGAACUGUUGUUGAUGUGAGGAGACCAAGAGAAUGAAAUUCAACAUAUAAUGGUUUCAUUUUCUUGUUUUUAUUCUUUGUUUACGUUAACUUCCUUGGAAUAUAAACUCAAGCACAGAGGCCUCCAUUUGUAAACAAAUCUGUUAUUUUUGGAUAUUUUUGUAACGGUUGCUGUGAUAUUCAAGCUGGUUUCCUAGGGAAGUUUCUAAUACAUUUAGUAAAAUUGUCUUCUGUAUAUAGAGUUUUUUAAAGCUAUACACAAUGCUGGACUCGUUGUUUGUGUGCUCAGGGAUAGCAGGAAAGGAAAUAGCAAGGCAUUAGAUAUCCAUGUGUAUAAAAAAGCCAAAUAUAGUUGCUUUGCGCCAUUUCCUAAUGUAUUGUAAUUAUUAUAACAAGGAGUUUGGUUACGUGUAUAGAAGUAUUUUAAUACAUGAUGAUGAAAAUAGAACUGUCAGAAUACCUCUGAAAGAUGUACAUAUUAAACCAUUAGAAUGGACGAUUGCUGUGGGACUGGAGGAGGGAGGUUUUGUACACAGCUAUCACAGACAUGAAAGGCUGCUCUGUGGGUGUAGAUAUUCCUGUAAAUGCUUUUUAUUUUGAAAUGUAUAUGUUGCUCUUUGCUUAUUACCAAGUGUUAUUGCUGUUUAUAUAUAUAUAUAUUAGGACUGUUGCGCCAUGUUACCAAAGCCAUCUUACAGGGAUGGCUUACCUCCAUGCUCACACGUCUACCUUUAGUUUGUAAAUUUUUUGUUUUGCCAGUUGCAUUAUUAAAUGGCCUCAUUAUUUAUUUAUGAUAACAUUUUGUUAUAAACAAUGUUAUUAAUGCCUAACAUGCAAUUUUCAACAUGUAUAUACGUCAUUGUAAAUUUGUUAUAAAUAUGAUCAACUUAAUGGGAUAGAAGCAUUUUUGUUUACCAAAGAGAUGUUAGAUGUAGCCUCUCUGUGUUCCCUGCAUCAUUAGGCUCCAUUUUCAUGUUGUCCUCAGUGGUGAGCAUAGUGUAAUGCUCUCUGUUUCAUGACAUCAUCAUGCUGGAAAUUUCAUUGCAACUGUAGGUCUGCUUUCAUUGAUGGUUUUCAGAUAUAUUUGUAUACAAAUAGGACGGGGGUUUUUUUUUUUGCAUAACUUGGAGAAAUCUCUACAUGUGGUAUAAAACAGCAUAGUUUAGAAAGUUCAUUUGCUGGUGGAAAUUGACAUAAUAGUGAAUUGUUUUUAGAACUUAUUUCUAGUUGUACAGGUGAUUUAUGUUUGAUGUGGGACGUUAGCAAUGGAAUAUAUUAAACCCAAGUUCAUUAUAUGUGGGCUGACAAAAGAAUGUGUUUGUAUUAUAUGUAUAUAGUAUACAGUUACACGUUUUUUAAAGCAAUAGGAACUUUUAUAUUUGCAUGUCUUGUUUUUAGAUUAUUGUAUAUAUCUUUUUGCUUUAAACUUUUAGUUCUUUAAAUAUAAUGAUUGUUUACAUAUUCAUAUGUGUGUAUACAUAUACACAUAUAUGCAUGUACAUAUGUGUAUAUUAGUGUACAGAACUUUUUUAAAGUCAUAGGACAAACAAUGGAAGAUACUGUGACGCUGCUAGCUAUAUGGUGGACAAAUGUUUUGUUUUAUAACAUCUGCAUUGAUAGACACACGUGACUUCUGUUUUGGCAAUUAAAUUGCUAUACUAUGUCUAGUCGACAUGUAUUGUUGGGGGGGGUUAUUGCCUUUGUGUUGUAUUUUUUUUUAGUAGAUAUUCUUUGUUAAGGUGUAGAAAUCAUUGUCAUUAAUGUGUAAAUGUGUAAUUUUUUUUCUACCAAUCUAGUUUUUGAAUGUUAAGUUCUGGAGCCGAGCAGGGAGGUAUCUGACUGCUGUAUGUAUAAUAGACAAGUUUCUUACCACAUCUUCACUCCUAGGUUUGUAGAAAUAACCUGUUUCCACGUGCCCCCUCGCGCGCACACACACGCACACACACAGUACAUAUGUUAAUGUUGAACUAGGGUUAAAAAAUGUUUGUUACCAAUAGAAGUGUUACUUCACCCCCUAGUGUUGGUUAUCACUUGGGGUGAAUGGGGGUGAUUAAUCUGACCAGAUCUUUGUUUUUCUACCAUAUACUCUUGUACAUGUGCCGAGAUUUCUGUCAUUUUAAAAACUUUAAAUCUGUUUCACCUGAAAUUGUAGCACAUAUGCUUUUUUUGCUUGUUGAAAUGGUUCACCAGUCCUGCCUAUUUUAAUCUUCAAACUGUAUUUAUCUUUGAAACGCCUGUUCAUUGCUGAUAUACUUUCUAAUAUCACAACCUAUUUGUAUAAUUAGACUUUUUUCUCUGAAUGUUGAACAGGGGUAGUGGAUGUUUCUGACCUCAUCUCUAAGACUCUCUUCAUGUCUUUCUGGUUUAUGUCCAUGACAUGGACUCUGUCUAUUGCAUUGCAUGUAGACCACCCACAGUCAAAUCCUCUCCCAUCACCAUCGAUGUGGCCCCCAUUUUCCUCAACUACCUCUCCACCCACUUCCCAACAACAUGGAUGGACCUUGAGAAUAGGAUGCUAAGUGAAAUAAGUGGAAAGUAUUUUUACCUCACAUUUUUAUUUAGAUGUAAAAGUAGAUAGUAACCAUGAAAUCGUCAUUUUAUAGAAAAAUACCUCAAUUUAAGGGCCAUGUUGUUAUAUAUUAUUUUCCCAGAUGUACUGAGGUUCAGGAUGGAAUUCUUUUUUCUAAAGAACAUUUACAGAAUCUCUUAAGUAUAUAAUCCUGUAAAUAUUUUAUUGUAUAUUUGUUCCUACCAUUGUCUUUCAAUAAUAACAUGGCAAUAAAAUUAAAUGUACAAGAUAAUUCAUUUCCCCCAACAUGGAAGAAUAGUCUGGCCAUCCUAACAAGUAUAAAUUUAAAACUUAAGAUACAGUGUGAAUUUGGUAUUUUUUGGAUGUGCCAAAUUUCCCAAUAUGUUUCUAUUUUUUAAGAUUUUUUUUUUUGGAAAGCGGUUUAAAAUUCAUAGCAAAUUGAGGGGAAGGUACAAAGAUUUCCCAUAUACCUCAGUCCCCCCCACACAUGCAAUAAUCAACCCAGCAUAUAGGGUAAUCUCAUGCCUUUUACAUCCAUAAGGUGACUUUGACAUAUAUCCAUCUUGAUAUUUGGGUUAUUUUCUUACCCUAAAUCCUCUGUACUCUGCCUACUUAUCCUUCUGUGUUUUUUUCUCUCUCUAACAUUGAAGGUAUUAGUUGCUUCGUUGAACGGAUUUUAUACUACCUCUUGGAACUAUACAUAGUUGUGUAUGUGUUCCCUUGGUCGCAUGACAGUAUUCAAGACAACUUUGUAAAUAACAGGCAGAUACACUUUUUUUAAUUUCUAACAUCUAGUCUUUCCAGAUGUAUAUAUUCUCUCAACGUAUACUCUUGUAAAUAAUUCAUUGUACAAUUCCAUGCUUUUAUAUUCUUGGGUUGUGUGGUGGUUGCUUAGGCUAUGUAUGUAUAUAUAUAUAUAUAUAUCCUUGCUCUGUGGAUUUGCUAGGGGGCGGGUAAAAGGGAGUGGCCCUACACUUUUUGAAAUAAGGCAUUGUUUAGUGUUUAUUCUACAUCAAAGACCUCAGUCCUCACUUUGUGGUUGUGUAGCUGAUAGGGCAUUAUGUAUUUUAAUCAUGGGAAAUGUAUUUUAUAGGAAUUACACAGCCACAGUCAGGACAAUUUUGUAAAUAGCAGGCAUAUAUAUAUAAAUACACAUCAUUUUAAACAUCUAGUUUUUCUAGAUGCACAGGGAGAUUCGCAAAAUUUUGUAAAUAUUUCAUUGCAAACUAGCCUAAGUUGGCUUCUGGUAUGUUUUGGCAAUGUAAUAGGUGGUUAGUGGAUAUCUGCUUCCUAGGCUGUGCUAGCGUUCUGGUGUUCAGUGAGUUCCUGGGAGAGGAAUCCCAAGAUGGCCUACAUAUCUUCAUCUUAUUAGGCUCUCAUGUAUAAGGAAAGGCUACACCGGGUAUGGAUAGCAGCAGUGACAAACCAGACUUGUAUUGUGAAGCUUCAGGGAGAAAGGUAUGUGACAAGAACUGUCCCUUUGUCACAUUCAGAUAUUCUCAGUGAUGUGAUCAAACACGGCAGCAACGCACAUUGCUAAAGGAAUUGCUACGUUGCUAGGCUAGAUAGAUAUUAACACAUCUGUAACAUUAGUUUUAGGUGUAUAGGUCUGAUAAUGCUUUUUUUUCUCAUUUAUUUGCUUCUUGAUUUUCAUUUUGCUAUGAAAGUUAUUGUAUUCUUACACUUAUGAAAGCCAGCCUCAUGUUACAUGUAAAUGUGUUAAUUUUGUAUGAGAUAAUUAAGCAACUCUAUAUCAAUGUUUUCAUCUAUAUGCAUCUGUAUGAGAGAAUUUCACUAGUUAUGAAUAUUUUAAUUCUCUGACACCUUUUUAAAAUUUUUUCUGGUGAAUUGUUAUAUUUGAAUGUCGAAAGUGUAUUGUAUCUCAGUUGCCUGUAAUGUACAUUAUGAAAGUUUCUUAGAAAGGAGGUCCAAUCCAGUAUUGAUUAAAGUAUAGAUCAUCUCUGAACAGCAGUUUGGCAAUGACAAUCAAAAUUGAAUGCGUAAAAGUGACUGCUGUGAUUUUAUCUAUUCCAAAUCAAAUUUACAAAGUUGAAGGUACAUUAUAGGUUGAAAGAAACAUUGAACAACUGAAAUACACAUUAGUGAAAAAUAUUGUAAUGAUUAUAGCUUACUUAAAUGAAUAUAAUCUAACCACUGAUAAAACAUUCUUAUGUGGAUGUGUGUUUUAAAUUGAUACUUAAAAUUGUCAUUUUUGAACAAAGAUCAACAAAUGUAUAUUGACAAGAGGUGUGUCCUUGUGCCUCUAGUUCAUAUACCAGAAAAGCUAAGGGCAAUGAUUCACCAUCAGUGUCACUAUCCCGGUGAUGGCUUCGACACACUUUGGAAUUUUUGUGCAUGUGCUAGUUAAACAAUAAGGCAUUGCUCAUCCAUGUAUUUGUAUGUUGCUACAUGACAAUCUAAAGUGACUGAGUAUGGAAGAGAAAGUUGUCUGGACGACUAUGGCAAAAUCUCUGUACAGACAUGUGAAUGGAAGGACUGCUUCUACUUUGCAUUCAAAUUUUUAAAAGGUAUUUCAAAAGGAACAUUUCAACAGCAGGAAUUUUAAAGGCACAGCUAAUUUGUGCCUGUCGUCCAUCUUGCCUAUCAACAUCUUGGGCAUGUGUGGCUGUGGGUCCGGCCUUGUAUUGCCAUUGGGCCUGAUUAAUGCUUUUAAGAGAUCAAGACAGCAUGAGACUUAAAGACUAAUGCAGCACAGAGCUGUACCAUGUGAGGAGGAGGAGGAAGGAGGAGAAUCGGUUACCCAAGGAGAGAAGAAGGGAGACGACGAGACUGCAGGAGUGAAAAGGAGGAAAGGAAAGUAAAUUUGUGACAAGUGAGGACAACCAACAUCAGGAGCCUUUGUCUUUCAAUGGAUCACCUUGUUCCCUGAGGCUCAACUGAACUACCGGAGAUGAUGGUUCCCGAGGAUGGCACCACCGCCUCGAGUCCUCACGCAGUGUGCCCCACUUCCAUCCCUGGCCCAGGAGCGUCCUGGAGACAUGCAUGGGAUGCCGGAACAGACUUGCUUCUGCCACCAUCUGAAACACCCGCCAGCCAGGCUCCAGAGCGGCCCAGAGGUGCCUCUUGGGCGUGGCCACGGACACUCCCUGCCAGCCUGACAGGAGAGAGCGCUCGUGUCCAAGGUGACCCAGCGGGUGAUGGCGAGAACUGUAAGCAGCAUGUUGACUGUUGUCCUUGUUGCUGUGGGACUGGCACCAGGAGAUGGAAAGCUGGAGACCUAAAUCCCGAAGCCCUGGACGUGCCGUUGCGAGGCCUCCUCCAGGGCUCCCAUAUAUUUCUAUUUUACUUAUAAUCAUAGCGUAGAUUUAAAAUGUAUUCAUUAAAAAUAGCCUUUUUUUAAGAUUUUAGGCAACAUAGAAAUUGUUAAGUAUGUAGUUAUUACUUUAUGUACCUUUGUUUCCCCUUUAAUUUUACCCUGCCCCAUGUCAUCUAAUGUCUUUUUAUUUUUCAAUUAGAUUACAUUCAAUAUUACUUUGUAUUAGUUUCAGGUAUACUCAAAAAGUAAAGUGUCCCCUCAAUGUUUCGGGUACCCACCAGGCCCCAUAUAUACGGAUCACAGUACAAACCGACUGUACUCCCUACGCUAUCAUCUACUAAUAGAGUUAGCGCGCACCCUUGUGGUGCUGCUCAGACAUUGUAGACAAGUAGUGUUUUAGGCGCUUACACUGGCCACGCAUCUUCUCUGCAUUAAACAUGCUUUUAUAUUAUUCCUUUUGAAUUUAUUCAACUAACUUGUUGAAAAAAAUUCCAAUGAAUUGGAAUGACUCUGGCUAAAAAUACUCAAUUUAUAUAUAGACUCAGAAGUUAGCUUUCCCCUCAUUCUAGGUCCUUCUCUUUAUUCUGCCUCCCCCUGUUUGAGACUUCAAACUGCACAACACUGCUCAAAGCUGUAGACUAUUAGGUGUCAUUGUCUUUAUUCUGCUCACUGACACUGCAGAGAAGUUAUUCUUCAUCACUGCUCCGCAAAAUCAUAUAUGCUCACUGCUUAAUCAUCACUUGUACUUUUUCAUUUCAUUUUUCCAGCUUCCUUGCAUUAUUAUAGUGUCACUGGAUUUUAAGAGCUUGUUUAUAACUAAAGAUGUUACCAUUUCUCAUGCAUUGCAAAUGAUAUACCAUGUUUUUUGUUACUAUUUUACUCUGCUGUUUUACUUUUUGGUUGUAUCAAACUUGUGCAUUAAAUAUAAUCAUAUUCUGUUUUAUGCCUUUUGUGUUGGUGUUUUUCUUUUUAAAAACAUGUUUACAAUAGGAUCAUACAUUUUUGUCUAUUUCCUUCUACUUUUCAUCACUUUUGUCAUUUUAUUUCUUUUUACACGAAUCAUCGCAACAAUUUUAAAGCAUUACAUGCUGACAUUAUGCACCUUGACCUAAACAGUUAACCACUGAUUUUAAAUUCUCUGUCGUUGAAAUCCAAAAAUUCAAUCUGUUGACUCCAUGUUUCUGACUUUCUAUUGAUGCUUCAAAAUUACUGAUGCCUGUAUUCUUACCUAGUCUAUUGAGUUCUAUCUCAUUUCUUUUCUUUUUCAGAAUAUGCCCUGUCUAUACUCGCACUUUUUCUGUCACUUGAUGCUUAAAAUUAUUUUGCAAGUUGGGGAAACAUGCAGUUUUAUUUCAUUUGCACCAAACUAAUUAGAUUAAUUAGGAGACAGUAUCUUUUAAGUGAGACUUCCUAUACAACUACAGUUAUAACUGAGGUGUUCCCAGUGUAAGAAGUGAGACAUCUUAGAUGCUGACAUUUCUAGAUCAAUCCAAAUUGUAGUUCUUGUUGAUCAGUUCUGUGGAUUUGAUCUUCGAAAAUGCUGCAUCUUCCAUAAGCAAGGACCAAAGAGAUUUUGACUGCAGGUGGUGGACAUGUGGACAACAGGACCCUAGGCACCUUCUGAAGUGAUCCCAUCCCCAGCAUCACCCAGAUGCUGUCUCGUUUCCCCCUCUGAGAAGCUUGCUGCGUCUCUGUUUCUCAAAAGGGCACGGCUUGCCUAGAACUGACCUGCUUGCCGGCAAGUAAUUGCCUGGACUGUGACAUGCUUCUCUGUGCUCUGAAUCUAUGUCAUGUGAUUUCUUCUAUUGUCUUCUUGACCCUGUUGCAUUUUGGGGGGGGUGGGGGAUGGAAAAAUCCGUGUUUUACUUCACAAAUGGGAGUGAGCGAUGGGGGUGGGAAAUGUGAUUGUGUAACCCAUAAGACACCACCUUGGUGACCCCCCACCCCCACCCCACGAUAGUCAGGCUUUCUCAUAAGCUACGUGUCUCCCCUGGGCCAUUUUGGUAUCCUCUGUUCUGAAUUGGAGCCCACUGUUUUUUGUGUUUUGUGGGGUUUUUUUUUUAGAGGUGGCCCAAACGAGAUCCCCUUAAUAUUUGUGUUCCCACAAUAAGCGAUUGAUUGUUUUCCCUGUUUAGUGAGCCUUCUACGUUGCAUUUUAGACCAGGAGUUGGCCUUGACCAACUCUUUCCCAGUGCCCCACCCAUAGACCUGAGUGCCACCACCACUUCGGUUGUGUUAAGGGGGAGCCAAGACCAUUGCCCUGGCAUUUUGAACCGUGGUGAUACCAUCUUGUAGAUUACCGGUUCCUUGGUAUCCCUGGAAUUGCCUUCUUUGGGGUCCACGUGGGCACCGCAAGGUACCGAAGCGAUUUCAAGGUCAAAUCUCCAUGGCCCUUCAUUUUCAUGGGUUGUCCGUGUCACCUCCAUGGGUGGAAUGGAGAUGGCGGAGUUUAUUGUCUGUUUUCAUUGUCUUGUUCCUGGAACAUAAACUCCUCCAUCUCGAGGGAACACCUAACUCCAACGCCCAACUUAUCUCAGUAACAGCUUUACGCCUCGAUCAUUGAAACGGGGCAGCCAAGAAUGAAUGGGUUAAAAAAAAAAAAAAAAAGAACGAAUGGGUUAUUACCCAAUUUAAAGUCGCCUGUGGUCAUUCGUUGUCCACCUUCUAUUUCUAGUUCCAGGGGUGGACAGUAGUUAACCAUUUGUGGCAUAGUGGUCAAGUAACUGCUCUCGGCUUAACUAAGUUUAUGUUGGGUUUAUUUCACAAAUACGCCAUUGUGUGAUGGUCUAUGUUUGGCCACUUUCAUGUUUUUUAAGUAUAUUGUGGACAUAUUCUCAAACGGAUAAAUCUCCUUUCCCUAUGGACAUUUUAUUGGAUGUAGUGCAUAUCACAAUGGGUUCGUCCGUUUCUCUGCUUUGGGACACGUCGGUUACCUGUGUUUCUUUGUCUUUUGCCGCUGCAUAUACUGUUGUAAUGUAUAUAAUUAUAGAUCUAUAUUAAUGCGCUCGUGCUCCUAAUUCUCUUAGAACAGACUUCUAGAUGUGACAUUGUUGGACCCUUAGCUCUGCAUGCUUUUGAUUUCGGUAGAUAUUGUGAAAUUGCCCUUGAAAUUUUUCCCAGGCCUGCCCACAGCUGUGGUGCGAUGGCCGUGCUGAUUUUCCUACGGGCGUGGACAUAAUGGGUAUUAUCGAUAAUUAGCCAAUCUAAUAGGUGAAAAAUAUUAAGCCCACUUUUUAAACAGUAAAUGGCCCUAGAUAAAAUAGACCCAAUAGUGAUAGGUGGUUUAUUAACCAACUAACAAACAAUAAGCCCAUCUUUUUCCUCUAGUCCCAAGACUCAUCCUGGUUGUCAGAGGUAAAAUGCAUUGCCCUUUUCAAAAUACGAUGCUUCUUGCGAGUUCGUAAACUUCCUAUGUAUACCUUAUGCCAGUGUUGAUUUCUUUGACUUUGUAGUUUGGAAAUCUAGAUUUAGAGUUUCAAGAAUCAUACAAAAGAACCACCCCCAUAGACUCUUCACCUCGGUUUUUUCUACUGUGUUGCGUUCUCUUUCUCUUACUUUCCCUCCAACUUAUAUAUCUAUAUAUAUAUUUUUUAAUCCUCACCCGAGGAUAUUUUCCCAUUGAUUUUUAGAGAGAGUGGAAGAAAGGCAAAGACCGAGAGAAAUAUCGAUGUGAGAGAAACACAUCCAUUGGUUGCCUCCUGCACGCGCCCCAACCAGGGCCCGGGCCGGGGAGAAGCCGGCAAUCACAGUAUGUACUCUUGACCGGAAUCGAACCCGGGACCCUUCCGUCCACAGGCCGACGCUCUGUCCACUGAGCCAAACUGGCUAGGGCCCAACCUAUUUUCUAGCAUGCUCUUUUUACGUGCAUUUUCUCCCUAGAAAACACUUCUCUGUUUCAGGCACUCCUCUAUUUUUAGAAUUACCUUGUAAGAGUAGAGGUGUGAUGAUAGCCCAAUAAGGCAUUCCGUUGCAAAAAUACAGUCACUGCUCAUGGUUUUCCGUCACGAGAAGGGACAAAAUCAUACAAUCGAUGUGGCUAACUUCAGUGAGACCCACCCCGUGCCCCCAGAAUACAAGUGAUAUUACUGUCUUCAAACUCUCUGGUGUUUAAGAAUUCUCCCUUGGUGUAUCUGUAGUCUAAGGAUGAUGGGUGUUCCCCAGAGGGAUGGCAGUUCUAUUCGUCUGUAAGAACCCGCUUCUGUCUUAGUAUUGAUCCGUCUGUGAAGACCCGUCUACUGAUGAGUGGUAGAUGGGAGAGCAUACACUUUUAGGACAAGGAGUUGGGAUUCUACGUGAGCCUUUCCCAUCUUGCUCAGGUUCGGGACAUCAAGAGGAGUAGGAAGACUUUGGAGAUGGAGGGAGAGGUUAAAAAUGACCCUAAUCAGCAAGGGGGCUUCGGUUAAUAGGUGAUGGGCCUCCCUCUUGCUUUCCUUCUGCCUCUUCAUCCAUUCAUUGAGGACUUCUUCUUCUGACUUGAUCACCUUUAAAAUAAAAUAAAAAAAUUACCGCUGCUGGUUCUAUGUGGAGUAGAGAUAGGUUCAACCAAAGCCUUGUAAAGAAAAAAAUAGUGACUCAUGGUUAUCGUCAUUCAUCAAGACUCUAGGUCAGUGGUACCCAACCUUUCUUUGGCCACGCCCCACCUAAGCAUCUCUAAAAUCCCGAUCCCGCCCCCCCCAUGACAUAGAAUUCUUCUUAUUCAAAAAGCGAACUCUUAUUCACAUGGAGGAAACCUAAAAGGCCAUGAACUUGGUCUUAAACAAACUUCCAAAGAACAUGGCAUCCAUGAAAGAGAAAAAUAAAAGAACGAGAGGACAGUGGACGUACUGAGGAAACACUAAGGAAUUGUUUAAAAAAAAAAAGUGAUAUGACAGAAUAGCAAAUAAAGUUUCAAACCACAUCAUUGAGAACUGAGAUGCAUAAAUAUGUCACCAUGUGUAUUUAAAGACUGUCUAUGAGGCCCCUAGAACUAUGAGAAAUGCAAAAAAACAUUCACUGUUAAUAACUCAUUCUCGAAUUGCCCCCCUUAAAAAUUACAUUUCCCUUCAGUGGGGGGUGUGCCCAACACUGGGAACCACUUCAUUCAUUUGUAAGACUCAACGACAUUCCCACCCACACCCCAUUCUCUUAGCGGAGAGAGGGCCGAUGUGCCGUGAGCAUCAGAAUGGAUCGAUUUGGGAUGAGACCCUUGUUGAUGGGCACUGAGAUCGUACGUGUCUCGGGAGGGUCCCUUCGGGAUCAGUGUGAGGAGCUGACGCAGUGGGGGGCUGUGGAUUCAUUUGCCCACAUCCCAUGUCGUCUUUCUAGCCUUAUCGUUCAUACACUUCCCCAUUUUGAUUCUCCUUUUUUCCCCGUGGUGGUGUGUUCUGCCUCCUUUUCCCAAAAUAUAUACCUAAGAGCUCCUAGUUGACAGGGACAUUUUCCCCCCAUUGUCACAUUUGAUGCUGGAAUGUCAGAAAGUAAGCAUUUCGUGACCAUUGUUUCAAAGAAAAAUCUGUGUAGGAGUGAAUGAGAGGGGUCAAAAGUAAGCAGAGACUACAUAGCAAUAAAGAAGCAAUAUUAUCAACCGCAUAGAUCCACGAGGUGUUUUUCUUUUAUUGGCUUGACUUUUUAAAAUAUAUAUGUACAUAUAUUUCAUACGUAAGUGACACCAGGCUGUGUUUGUCCCCCUUCUGUCCGGCUUAUUUCACUUAACAUAAUGCCCUCAGCCGUUUCAUCUUCUCCCCAGUGAAUUCCUUCCUUUUCCUAUGCCUUGGCUAUUGUAAAUAAUGUGUAUAUGAACGUAGUGUAUAGAUAACUCUUGGAGAUCCUUCCCUGUCCUGUGGCUGUCCGCCCAGGGUGUCUGCUGCAUGAUACGGUCGUUCCAUUUUAAUCUCUUGAGGAAUCUUCGUGUUGUUUUCCACAGUGGUCGUGCCCUCGUACCCAUGUAUAUUCCCACCCGUCGUGUACAAGGGUUUUCUCUACAUACUCGUCAGUAUGUAUCUCCUGACUUUCUGAUAAUAAACAUCCUAAGGGUGACAUGGUACCUCAUUGUGCCCUUGAAUUGUCCUCUCGAUCAAUGAUGUGGAGCCACUUUUUUAAGUCCCUGGGGGCCAUACUUAAUGUCUUAGGGGGGAAAAUGUGUCUGCUUAGGUCCUUGGUCCUUGUUCCUAUUUAAAUCCGGGUCUGGUUUUUUUUUGUUUGUUUUGCCUAUCGAGUUGAGUACCUUGCAUAUGUUGGUUAUGAAUCCUUUAUCAGAUUUGUGGUUAACAAAAUUAUUUCCUUCCAUUCUGUAGGUUGCCUUUCCCAUGUGGUUAUGGUCUCCUUUUCUGAGCAGAUGUCUUUUAGUUUGAUAGUGUCUCACUUGUUUAGUUUUUUUGUUUUGUUUUGUUUUGCUUUUGGUGUCAAAUCCGAAAGAUGAUUGCUGAGAUCAAUGUCAGGGAAUGUACUCCCUGUUUUUUUUUUUUUCUCCUAUGAGUUUUAAAUAUUAGGAUCUCCAGUUGUUUGUUGUCACUGGUGUAAGAUCGGAGUCCAGUCUCAUUCUUUUUAUUUAUUUGUUUUUUUCAUUCUUUUUAAAAUGUGGCUGCCCAGUGUUCGCAGCAUCAUUGAUCGAAGAGGCUACCCUCCCCCUAUUAUGAAUUUUCGGCUCCUUAGCUGAAAAAUUACCUGGCCAUAUGCGCAGAGCGUUGAUUUCUGGUCUCUCCGUGCUGUUCCAUUGGUCUCUGUGUCUGUGUUCACGCGCAAACCACACUGUUUUGAUUACUGCAGCUUUAAAAUAUAGUUUGAAAGUAGGAAGUGUGAUGCCUCUGUCUUCUGAGGUCUCAUACAAAUUUCAGGAUUGCUUUUUCUAUUUCUGUGAAAAGUGCCAUGGGGAUUUUGAUAGAUUGCAUCGACAAUGUAGGUCACUUUGGGUAGUGUGGCUAUUUUAACAAUAUUUAUUCUUCCAGUCCAUGAACACAGAGUAUCUUUGCAUUUAUUUGCGUUCUUUUCAAGCGGUUGGUGUAUAGGAACAGGACUGGUUUAUGUAUAUUAAUUUUGUAUUCUGGAACUAAACUGAGAUUAUUUAUUCUAAAAACAAAAUUUUUGGUGGCGUCUUGGGAAGUUUUCUAUAUACGGUCAUGUCCCACAUAACAACAGUUCAGUUAGCCACUGACCACCCGUCUGUUGGGGGUCCCAUAAGAUUAGAAUGGAGCUGAACAACUCCUCACGUAGUGAUGUCAUAGCUGUCAUGAUGUCAUAGUGUACAUCAUUACUCAUGCGUUUGUGGUGAUACUCAUGUAAAUAAACCCACUGCCCUGCAGUUAUAUAAAAGUAAAGCAAUACUAUUCCUGUAGUAGGCCAUGCCAUUUAGGUUUUCAGUUUUUCACCGAGUGUAACGUUAGCUGUGGCCUUGUCUUUUAGGACCUUCGUUAUGUUGAUGUACAUUCCUUUAUACCCAUUUUGUCAAGGAUUUUUGUCAUAAAUAGAUGUUGUGUUUUGUCAUGUGCUUUUUCUGUGUCUUAUUCAGACGAUUUUAUGAUGGUUUUAGUCUUUAUUUUGUUAAUGUGGUGUGUCACAUGGAUUGAUGUAUGGAUGUUUUGACAUCCAUGGCCUAUCCCUUUUAAUAAUAAAUGUCACUUUGUAGUGGUGUCUGGCCCCUUUCAGUGUAUUGUUGAAUUUGGUUUGCUAAUAUAUUGCCGAGGUUUUUGCAUCUAUGUUCACUUAGGGAUAUCGGCAUGUAAUUUUAUUUUCUUGUAUUGUUCUUGUCUGAUUUUUGUAUCAGAAUAAUGCUGGUGGAAGUGUUCCAUUCUCUCCCUCCCCCCCCCCUUUUUUUGGGAAGAGUUUGUGAAGGAUUGCUAUGAAUUCUUCUUUAACUGUUUAGUAGAAUUUACCAGUGAAACCAUCUAUUUCUAGACUUUGUUGGGCAGUUUUUUGAUUGCUGCCUCAGUCUCCUUUUAUAGUAAUCGAUCUAUUUAGAUUUUUAUUUUUUCGUGGUUCAGUUUUGGUAGGUUGUAUAUUUCUAGGGAUUUGUCUGUGUCUUCUAGGUUGUUGAAUUUGUGUGGCGUAUAAUUGUUCAUAGUGUAGUCAUGUACCUCGUAACGAUCUUUUGGUCAACAAUGGACCACGCAUACAAGGGUGGUCCCCUAAGAAUAUAGGAGAGCUGAAAAAUUCCUAUUGCCUUGUGACCUGGUAGCCUUCCAAAAAUUGUAGCACAACACAUUAAUGUUUACUGGCAGCCUCAGCCUACGAACUGUAGUACUAUCAGCUAGAAAUGCCCCGGGGGCACUUCACCAGGGACCCCUUGAGCUUCCCACAGAUAUCUUCCCCUGGUAAACCAAUGGACGGACACUGGUGGUUCUUGUGCAAGAUGCUUUGCUGCAGUAACAAGUCAGAACCCGCGAAGGAAAAACGCAUUUAUGACUUAACAGGCCGCAGAGCAUAGCAGUCCCGUGAGAGGGCGCACACACAGUAAGGCCCAGGGCAGAGAGAGAGAAACAUCGUGAGUCUGGGCUUCUGUUUUUCCUGGGGGGGGCGUAAGGUUUUGCAGGCUCGCUCACUCUUUCAUGGUGUGUCCACAAGGUAAGAGUGAGAAUUUAACACACGGGAAGAGAAAAAAGCAAGGAGCCCACACGGUCAGUGAUCAGAAUCAAGGAAGACCUACAACAAAGGAACCCCUUUGUUGGGGGAGGUGGUGUGGGUCUUCAUCUAGUGUGUGGCCAGCACCGUCUUCAAAACUAAGUUAACACGCAGAAAAGAAACAGGUUCCUAGAUACAGAGACCAUUUUGACAGAUGGGAGGGGCACGGGGGAGAUAAAAAGGCGAAGGGAUUACGCAGUGCAAAUCGAGAGUUAACAGCAGAAUCAUGGGGAUGGAAAGUAUAGCAUAGGGAAUCCCGUCAGUAAUACUCUGAUAACUCCGUCCAGUGUCCAAUGGUUAGGAGUUUUAUCCAGAUGAUCACUUAGUAAGUUAGGUAGCGUCUAUACUCUCUGGGGUGUACACCCGAAACUCACAAUAUUGUAUGUCACCUGUAACUGAAAAUUAAAAAAAAAAAAAAAAGAUUUAAAAAAGAAGAUAUGUCAGGCACUGGCAUUACCCCCCCCCCCAAAAAAAAACAAUGCCACCUUUUGGGGCUCACAUUACAUGUUUGUGGUGAUGCUGACGUAAAGAAGCCUGCUGGGCUGCCAGUCCAUACAGUACAUAGCGCAUAUACAUCCAUAGUAGUAGGCCAUGUCAUGAUGUCCGCGCAAUAAUGCCAUCACCUAAGGACAUACCCUGCUCGUUAAGUGGCACAUGACCGCGGUCUCUUGUGAUCCUCUGUGCUAUCGGUUGUCGUGUCUCCUCUUUUCAUUUAUAGUUUUAUUUGCGUCUUCUCUCUUACUUUCUUGGUAGGUAUAUGUAAACCUUUUUCUAUUUU